CAAAAUAGGAUUCCAUGCGUCAAGUGUUCCGUGGAUGGGGAGUCGCCACAGAAACGAAAAGCUCGUCUUACGAUAUGGAGUCCGCACCCGUUG
rnacentral:ncRNA from 1 species